UUGUAAUUAUCAAACAGUAUUAAGUGCCAA
rnacentral:piRNA from 1 species